GACGAACGCUGGCGGCGUGCUUAACACAUGCAAGUCGAACGGAAAGGCCUUUUCGGAGGUACUCGAGUGGCGAACGGGUGAGUAACACGUGGGUGAUCUGCCCUGCACUCUGGGAUAAGCCUGGGAAACUGGGUCUAAUACCGGAUAGGACCGCACUUUAGUGUGUGUGGUGGAAAGUUUUUUCGGUGUAGGAUGAGCCCGCGGCCUAUCAGCUUGUUGGUGGGGUAAUGGCCUACCAAGGCGGCGACGGGUAGCCGGACUGAGAGGUUGGUCGGCCACAUUGGGACUGAGAUGCGGCCCAGACUCCUACGGGAGGCAGCAGGGGGGAAUAUUGCACAAUGGGCGCAAGCCUGAUGCAGCGACGCCGCGGGGGGGAUGACGGCCUUCGGGUUGUAAACUCCUUUCGCCAGGGACGAAGCGUUUUGUGACGGUACCUGGAGAAGAAGCACCGGCUAACUACGUG
rnacentral:rRNA from 1 species